rnacentral:lncRNA from 1 species
AAAUGCAAGUUGCAUCCCCAAAUGCGAGGCUGGCCUGACCAAAAAGAGCCACUCGGCGCCCGGAAGAGGCGAGACUCGCGCUCGGGUUCUCAAUCCUUCUCUUUUCUCCUUUCUUUUUCCCUUUCUCCUCUCCGGUUCCUGAUUUAGCUGGGAGCUGUUUAUUUAUGGCUGCAAAUGUGUGUGUUCAAGAGAGAGAGGGAAUUGAUCUUUGCCUGGACUUAAAGAUGGAGCCGAAGAAGCUGGAGGGAAUUUGGGCUUGUGCGUCUGGCCCAGACCCUGUGCGCCGAGCCCGAGGUCUAUCCUCCCCGCACCUCUCACCUCGCGACCUUGCAGGAAUCCGCGGGCCCGGAUGCUGCCCAGCUGACCCUCCUGCCCCGGGCCCGGCUGCAGAGAAAGUCUUCGAGCAGGAGGCCAGCCUGUUCCUGUCUUUAAAAUGAGCACAAUAAAAGGGGGCAAAUCCUCGAACGCGAACCUGAUCUCAUGUCACAGAAGCAACUUGCCAUGAAAUCCGCUAAUGCGCUGCGACUCGCCCACCAGGCAUCUGGGGAAAAGACGCCCUGACUCAAGGGUGU